rnacentral:lncRNA from 10 species
GUCUAAUUGCACUUAUUUACUUCCCUUUAAAAAUAUGUGAAUUUUCAUGUUUAGGUUUCAGAGAAUCAGUUACUUAGGAUAUGAAUCCUGCAUUGUGGAGAGAGUAGUCACUGUGGAAAAGGAAGCCUAAACUUCAUUUUUAUCAAAAUGCAGAAAUUAUGAAACUUAAACCAUCUUAGAGAUUCCUGGGUUUUUCUUCUCUUUCUUUUUUUUUUUUUCCCAGAGAUGAUGAGGUGUCAGCCUGCUGCCCAGGCUGGAGAGCGGUGGUGUGAUCAGUACCCAUUGCAACCUCGAACCGCUGGGCUCAAGCAAUCCUCAAACCUCUGCUUCUCAAGUAGCUAGGACUACAGGUGCGCACCACCAUGCCCGGCUAAUUUUUUAAGAUUUUUGGAGAGAUAGUCUUGCUGUGUUGCCCAGGCUGCUCUCAAUCCCUUGGCCUGCCAGUGAUCCUCUUACUUCCACCUCCUCAAGCACUGGGAUUACAGGUGUGUGCCACUGAAACAGCCAGGUGAGGGGGGUACCCUGGACAAACUCUAAUCAGCCUGCCCACUGAGGUGUAGCCUCAGGAAGUUCAAUAGGGAGGAGCCUGGCCCCUCCUCUUCCUGUGUGGAACCUGCGAUUUCAAGGGCCGACAGGAAGCCUCGAUCGGGGAACUCUGACCUUGCGGAGGAAACUUGUUUCCCUUUUUUUCUUCCCGCCGACUUUCACUCGAUAAAACCCUGCUUUAUUCACCCUUUAAACCUUCUCCAAACCUAAAUUUUCCUGGCCUUGGGACGGACAAGAACCCAGUCUUCAGAUGAAGGAAGGAAAAGUCCUGCAACAUUCUUGGCGUGCAACGUUGGGGCUCUUGAAGAGCUCCAGAAUUGGGAUUCUAUUUUCAAGGAAUGUCCUAGACAACAUGGCAUUAUUAAUUGAAAAGGAAAUAUAUUCCAGAAAUCUAUUCUGUUACCAGCUGUAUCAGAAUUCCACAGUGCAUCUGGUUCUUGGGCAAGUCACUGAAACGUGGGUCAAAUGUUGAAAGCUACUGUACUGUGAUGUGAAAAUAAAGGACAGUUAUAACAAAAUACUGCAAACUCAGUGGCUGAAAACAUCAGAAAUUUAUCAUCUCACAUGUCUGGAAGCUAGAAAUUUGAAAUCCAGGUGCUGUCAAAUCCAUGCUUCCUCUGAAACCUGUAGGGGAACAUCCUUCCUUGCCAGCCGUCUCUGGUGCCCUUUGUCUCAUAGGUACAUCAUUCCAAUCCUCCCCUUUUGCAUUGUAUUCUCCCUGUGUCUCUCUGUCUCGGUGCCCAAAUUUCUCCUUUUAUAAGGCUACCAAUCAUAUCGAAUUACCCUAAUGACCUCAUUUUAACUUGAGUACCUCUGUAAAGGCUCUGUUACCAACAAGGUCAUAUUCUGAUGUACUGUAGGUUAGAACUUCAACAUUUCUUUCUUGGAAGGGCACAAUUCAACUUAAAACAAAUGGAACGGAUGAUAUAAGAAUCUACUAAUGACUGGGAAAUUUUACUCAGGCAUAAGUGCUAGGAUAUCCUGGUUAAUGAAAAAUUAAUAAUUACAAUUAGUUUUUCCUGUCUAAAUGACUAAAAGGAAAAGUUCAAACAAUAAAUGAAUUACUGAGACUGUUUCUUGCCUGCCCCUGUUCUGGACGUGACCAAUUUUAGCCUCAAAGAAUUUUGUGAUCCCCAAGGGUCUAGGAAGAAGAAAAGAGCUCAAGGAAUUAAAGUGUUCAGAGAUGAGGAGAAUAGACUUGAAAUAAGUAGUGUACCAAUUAAUGGCAGAUCUUUACUAACCAGACUGCAAACAAUAGAUAUUUUUGAAAUGUCACAAAAUUAAAGUUACGAAGUCUAUAGAAAACAAAUUAAACAAUGGCACAUUGGUAAGAACCAUAUAAAUGAUUAUCCCAGUUUUCAUUGUUUGGUUGAUUAUGAAAGACAUAAAUUGUGGGCAGUACCUAAGCUGUACAUUUUUUUCUUGCUUUACUGCCUAUUUUUUUCUUUGUUUCAGUCACCAUUUAAUGCCUUUGGAAAAGUAUAAUGAUGUAUGGAAUGGCUUUUAUACACAUUCCUUCUCUGUAGGUUAUCUUUUUAACCUUUUCUGCAUGACAAUUCCAAGAUAAUAUAUAUAUAUGAAAUUUAGCACAUAAGAAUAUCCUUGUUUUUAUGUUUUGCUCAAAAAUGCAAAUGUACAUAUAUAUAUCUGAAUAUAUAUGUAUGUUUGUGUCUAUGUGUGUGUAUAUAUAUAUAUGUAUAUACAUAUUAUUUCUGUGCUGAUUUAUGUAACCAUAUUUACCCACCAAUUCCCUAGAAAAGGUCCCUUCAAUGCUUGUUAUUUGGCAUUCCUCAAUUUCUUUUGUUCUGUGUUUUGGCUAAGGUGGAUAUUUUCUUGAAAUAUUCUACUUCUCCUGGCACUGAAGUAUUCAUUCACUAAUUUACGUCCUUCCUCCCACCGUAAGUGCCCUGUAUGCCUCUUUCUCUUAGCCAGUGAUGUGGAAUUCAAGCCACAAGGGACAUUUUACUUUGGAAAACACUGCCUUCCAGGAACUAGCCAGGUCUACAUUUCUCCAUUCAUUUUCCAUUACUGCUUGCCCCAGACAUUUUGCUGCAAUAACGUAGACCUGCUGGCAAUGCCUUACAUAAUCCAGUGUAUUUUAUUGUCUCCUUUUCUUUUCAAAGGCUCUUUCCUUUCUUCAGUCUUUAUCACUUGUAUAUCAGAUGUAUAAUUCCUAUCUCUCCCUCCAAAUGCAAUUGUUUCCAGCAAGACUUCCUCUAGUCUCUAGAGUCGGCAAAGCUAAUACAGUCCUUCAAGGCCUCAUAGCACCCUAUAAAUUCUAGUGCCAUGUGAUUUACCAUCUUCUACUGAAAUAAUAUGCUUAUAUUCUCCCCAACCUAAAUUGCAAAAGAGGUAGGGUGUUGUAUUUAUCUUAAAACAAGUGCCUGAUGACAGAGAGGGCUCAAUAAAGAUUUAUUGUUAGAAAAAUUAUUAGACAUGUGAAAACAGCCACCCUAGUCGAUUGUCAAUCAUUUUAAGGAGAAAAAGCUGGUCCAAGAUAUAAUUCUUGGUUGAAGCCACAUUGUUCAACUUUGUAGAAGAAUUGCAUUGUUAUCUGAAGGUGACUGUGUUUUGGAGCCUUGAUGUAAAUAUCCAAAAUAAAAACUGCAUGUUUAUAAAGUAAAAUUAAUAAUCUAGCUUUUAAAAUGCUUACCAAGUAUUUUAGCUAUUCUCAACCCUGGCUGUAUACUAAGAAUCACCUUGGGAAGCUUGUUAAAGGUACAGAGCCAGGGCCCCAAAACAAUGCUGAUUCAACUCGAUGUUUAAAAUCCUCCUUAGGGAUGACUGAGAUGCAUUGCUCAAAACAUUAGUAAUAGAAUCACCUUUCUUAGAUUAAAAUUUUUUUACCAGAUGUUUCCAAAAUACCAAUGUUCUGUCUUCCACCAAUAAAUAAUUUUGUGGCCAAAUAAUUUUAUACAGGGUACAGUAUUAUCCUCAUUUUACAGAAAAGGAAACUGAGGAAAAACCAGGAUAAAUGAUUUGCCAUGGUAUCCUAUAUGUUAUAGCUGUAAGAUUGACAUCCAGGUUUAUUGAAAUCUAAUGUUCUUCCUUCACAUCAUACUGACUCUGAAAUUGUGUGGGGUUGGUAAACAAACUUCUGAACUCAAUCUAUAAACUGGAUCUGAAUCUGGGUUUUUUGGUGGUUGGCAUAUCACAAGGCAGAAAUGCAUACACAUUAAAUAAAACAAAAACUGAUGGAGAAAACUAAACCAGAGCAACUUGAAAUAAAACAAGGGCUAUUAAAAAGUAUCUCCAACAGUUGACUUGCUUUUAAUACAGAGUAGGCUAUUUUUAAUUCCCACCAAAUUGCUAAAGCACUAGUUCUCUCUUCUGCAUAUUUUUUUUCUCUACUCUGCCUAUUUUUCACUCAUGGGCCUUUCUUAAUAAGUUAAAGAAACUAAUGUAAAAGUGGACUAAGUCAGAAGCUUGAAACAUUUAAUAAAGGUCAAGUGUUCAGCAAGACGUUCUCAGUUGUGGAGAUAAAGGAAGGAUAAAGUCAAGGAUAUCUGAUAUUUCUAAAAACCUUAAAGAUUAAGUCCACCUGAACCACAGGUGAAGCUAAGCCAGCACCACAGAAUUUCUCUUAACCAUGUAGGUACAGUCACCUUUUGGUUGCAUUUUUAACACUUUUAUUUAUUUAUUUAUUCAUUCAUUCAUUCAUUUAUCCUUUGAGAUGGAGUCUCGCUCUAUGGCCCAGGCUGGAGUGCAGUGGCGCCAUCUCUGCUCACUGCAACCUCCACCUCCUAGGUUCAAGCAAUUCUCCUGCCUCAGUCUCCUGAUUAGCUGGGGUUAUAGGCACACACCACCACGCCCAGCUAAUUUUUGUAUUUUUAGUAGAGACCGUGUUGGUCAGGCUGGUCUCAAACUCCUUACCUCGUGAUCUGCCCUCCUCGGCCUCCCAAAGUGCUGGGAUUACAGGCAUGAGCCACUGCACCCGGCCUUUUAACACUUUUAAUGUCUACCACAUAGAAGCAUAUAUACAAUUUUUCGAAAAACACAAAAUACAGUGCUGUUGGGUGAUUGGUGGCUUCCUAUAUAAACUACAAUAUAAACUAUAAAAACGAAAAUAUAAACUGUAACCAUUUAAACCACUCUUUUCAUGGCCCAAAGGGGUUUGCAAACCCCAAGUAGUUUCCCAUGAGCAAGCACAUUGAGAAACACUGAUUUAAGAGGUUAUUUUGUUAGAACACUACCUAAUACAUUUUGUAUUUCCCAUGCACUUCAAGACUUCCAUAGGGGCUCUUAGAAUAUACUAUCAUCUUAAAAUACCUUUUCUAGUUUUAAAAUUUUCUUAUCAAAGAAUGCACACAUAGCAACAAAUACAAGGGUACAAAACAGCUUCAGAUGAAGAACAAAACUCUCUGCUCUAACCUUCCCAGUCCAGAGGUAAAUAUUUAAAACACUGAUUUACUAUUAGGACUUUUUUUCUGCUGAUUAACAUCACAGCUCUAAAUAACAUGCUAAUAUAUUUAAAUCUCUAGGCGCUAAGAAAGAUGAGAAUUUAAUAUGUAUAUUCUGUCACAUUUUUUGUCUUUUUUCCAUACUUUUCUACAUAGUCUUUAAAAGUUUUUAUUCAUUUAAAUAUUG